AAUUGGAGGGCAAGUCUGGUGCCAGCAGCCGCGGUAAUUCCAGCUCCAAUAGCGUAUAUUAAAGUUGUUGCAGUUAAAAAGCUCGUAGUUGAAUUUCGGGAUUGACACAUCGGUCGUGCCUUAAGGGGUAUGAACUGGUGUAGUCAAUUUCUCACCUUCUGGAGAACCGCGAUGCCCUUAAUUGGGUGUCACGGGGAACCAGGACCUUUACUUUGAAAAAAUUAGAGUGUUUAAAGCAGGCAUUUUGCUUGAAUACAUUAGCAUGGAAUAAUAAAAUAGGACGGCAUGAUUCUAUUUUGUUGGUUUCUAGGAUCACCGUAAUGAUUAAUAGGGAUAGUUGGGGGCAUUAGUAUUCAAUUGUCAGAGGUGAAAUUCUUGGAUUUAUUGAAGACUAACUACUGCGAAAGCAUUUGCCAAGGAUGUUUUCAUUAAUCAAGAACGAAAGUUAGGGGAUCGAAGACGAUCAGAUACCGUCGUAGUCUUAACCAUAAACUAUGCCGACUAGGAAUCAGACGAUGUUAAUUUUUUAAUGACUCGUUUGGCACCUUACGGGAAACCAAAGUGU
rnacentral:rRNA from 1 species